UACGAGGGGUGCAAGCGUUGCUCGGAAUUAUUGGGCGUAAAGGGUAGGUAGGUGGUCUCAUUUGUCCGGGGUGAAAUCCUUGGGCUUAACUCAAGAAGUGCCCCGGAAACGGUGAGACUAGAGUACUGGAGAGGGUCGUGGAAUUCCCGGUGUAGCGGUGAAAUGCGUAGAGAUCGGGAGGAACACCAGAGGCGAAGGCGGCGACCUGGACAGUUACUGACACUCAACUACGAAAGCGUGGGGAGCAAACAGG
rnacentral:rRNA from 1 species